CUAUGAUCCGGAGUUGUCAAUUCAAAUUCUUUUACAACAAAGAGAUGAAAGAGCUCAAGUAGAACAAUAUAUGCGACUAGUUGCUUUUUGGAACACAGAAAAAUCAAAGGAAAGAAGUGAAAAGAAUAAAAAUGCAAGAAAGCAAAGGAUAAUGAAUCAAACCACAGGAAGGACAUCUUUUUCUCAAGUGCAACAAACAUUGG